AAACCUUCUACCUUGCUUUGUGAUCUGGGUUGUGGGUCUAUCCUGUGUGAACGAGAGGUUUUUGGGUCAGAUCUGUUUUUCCUUCGUGAGUUGGGUGGUUCGAUUGGGUAAAAGGGAAUUCUUGCUGGAGAACGUGGCUAAGUGAAACGAGGGCUUUAUUCCGGUGGAUGUUCGGAGGCAGCCAAGUGGGUCUUGGACGUGGACUAUCGGGAAUUCGAGGACUGAGCCGGAACGAGUCUCCAUCUUCACUGAUUUGUUUAUCAAAUCAGUCCGGUUAGAUUUAUUCUUCGUUAUAAUAUUCUGUAAUUUUUAAAUUCAUUAGAAAAUCUUUAUUCCCUAAACCCCAUUCCCAUGGGUAUUUAUUUGUUAUUGAAUAAUUAUUAUUUGGUCUGUAAUUAUUCUAGAGUUCAACGGGUACCCAACAGUGGUAUCAGAGCAUUAAAUUGUUGUACCCGUUGAACUGGCGUACAAAACCCUACCAUGGGUUUUGCUCAGGUAUUGUAUUCUGAACCCCCUAUGGUUGGUUUUAAUUUUCCUGUUUAUUUUUGGGUUGCGUUUCUGGAUCUGUGUGUCCAGUUUUAUUAAUUGCUGGAUCUGUGUGUCCAUUAAUUGUUGGAUCUGUGUGUCCAUUAAGUGCUGGAUCUAUGUGUCCAUUUGUGUUAAUUUAGCUGAAUCUGUGAUUCAAUCUGUGUGUGCUAAAUUCUCGUUUAUUUAUUCCGCUGCUUACUUGAAUUGUCUUCACGAUACCAAAUCUAGAUUUAUUUUUCGAUUUAGUUUAACCUCUCUCUCUACACAAAAACCCAGCUUGCGGGAACCGCUAGUGCUUCCUGAUCUGGUUGGGGUAGUUGAGGGAGGACUGCUAGGUUUUUGUCACUUGCUUUACGUUAACUUUGGUAUCGUUUAUUUGCGCAAUCGUAAUUUGUUAUCCUGCUGUGUGUUCUGGAUAAUGGCUUCUAUGACUGCUUAUUCUGUGGCUCCUUUUGAUGGAAAAGGUGAUUUUUCAAUCUGGCAACAAAAAAUGAAAAGUAUUUUAAUUCAACAAAAAUGCUUUAAAGCUAUUUCUUUAGAAGAUGUUUUUAUGGCUAAUGCCAGACGUGAAAAAUUUGAUGAACUUGCUUAUGCCUCUAUUAUUCUGAAUUUGAGUGAUUCUGUGAUUAGAAAAGUAGGAAAGCAUGAAUCUGCUAGAGAACUAUGGGAUAAGUUGGAGGAACUUUAUACUGAAACUUCCUUGCCCUCAAAAUUGUUUUUGCUCGAAAAUUUUUUCAGAUUUAAACUUGACUUGAACAAAGAGAUUGAUGUCAACAUCGACCAAUUUACAAAACUUGUUCAAGAUAUUAAACUGACUGGAGAUAAAAAUAUCGAUGAUUAUACUCCAAUUGUUCUUUUAAAUGCCAUACCUGAGUCUUACAAUGAUUUAAAAUCUGCCAUUAAAUAUGGUAGGGACUCUGUGACUCUUGAUGUAGUUAUAAAUGCUUUGAAAAGUAAGGAGUUGGAUUUAAAAGUGAACAAGAGCAAUAAAUCUUUUGGUGAGGUGAACUUUGUGAAAGGGAAGCAACAAAACGUUUUCAAAACAAAAACCCGGCUUUCAAUCAAAAUGCUCAAAGUUCUUCAAAUUUUCAAAACAAGAAAAAGGGCAAGUGGAAUGGAAAGUAUAAUGUGAAACCAAAUACUCCUAGGAAGUGUUAUAAUUGUGGUGAUCCAAACCAUUUUUCUAAUGUGUGCCCUAAACCUAGGAGAGAUCAGAAAAUUGCUAAUGUGAAUCAAGUUUCUGAUAAUAUGGGUGAUGUUUUUAUGCUAAGUGGUAUGCAUGCUUCUGUGAAUUCUGUGUUAGCCUCUCUUAGUGAGAAUGAAUGGCUUCUUGAUUCUGCAUGUUCAUAUCAUAUGACUCCACGUAGGGAAGUUUUUUCUGACUAUAUGCAAAUGAAAAACUGUGGUGUUACUUUAGCUGAUGGCACUAGGAUAGUUGUGAAUGGUAUUGGAACUGUAUGCUUAAAAUUUGAUUCGGGCUAUGUGUUAACCUUGAAAAACGUGAGGCAUGUUCCUACCCUAAGUCAUAAUUUGAUUUCGUGUGCUGUACUUGAAGAUGAUGGUUUUCGUGGGGAUUGGGGAGAUGGUUGCAUGAAUAUUAUGAAGGGUAGCCGUUAUUUGUUUAAGGCUUUGAGAAUGGGUAAUAUGUAUGUUUGUUUUGCUGAAUCUUCUGCAUCUGUGAAUGUUGUCCAAAAUGAUUUAUCUGAAUUAUGGCAUAAAUGGCUAGGUCACAUGAGUAAUAAAGGGCUUAGUAUAUUGCAUAAAAAUCAGUAUUUUGGAAAUGAUAAAGUGUCUUCUGUGACUCUAUGUGAUUCAUGCAUUUUAGGUAAACAAACGCAUGUUUCUUUUCCUGAAAAUCCUUCUCCCAAUCCAUCUAGAUGCACGGAAAUCCUAGAAUAUAUUCAUGCUGAUGUGUGGGGCCCCGCCAGUGUUCAUACACAUGGUGGGAACCGUUAUUUUCUGUCUAUUAUUGAUGAUUAUUCUCGUAAAGUGUUUGUUUUCCUGUUAAAGCAAAAAUCGGAUGUUUUUGAUAAAUUUAAAACGUGGAAAACGCUGAUUGAAAAUCAAACAGGUAAACGGAUAAAAACACUUAGGACAUAUAACGGUACUGAGUUUUGCAACCUAGAAUUCGAUAAUCUGUGUGCUGAAUCAGGAAUUAGGAGGCAUAAAUCUGUUGUGCACACCCCACAACAAAAUGGUGUGGCCGAACGAAUGAACAGAACCCUUCUCGAAAAAGUAAGGGCUAUGUUAACUAGUUCUGGACUGCCAAAGUUGUUUUGGGGUGAAGCAAUUUUGACUGCUACUUAUUUGAUUAAUCGUUCUCCAUCUGUGCCAUUGAAUGGCGACUUACCCGAAUCUGUGUGGUGUGGUAAGAAAGUAGAUUUGUCAAACUUGCAUGUUUUUGGUUGCGCUGCUUUUGUUCACCAUAAAGGUGAUAAACUUGAACCCCGUUCUGUGAAAUGUAUUUUCUUAGGUUACCCCGAUGGGGUUAAGGGGUAUAGGCUUUGGUUAAAAGAAGAUUUCGGUUAUAAAACCGUAAUUAGUAGGGAUGUUAUUUUUAAUGAAUAUGAAUUUCCUUGUCUUGCUGUCCCUAAUGUGGUUAUUCCUCAAUCUACUCCAAAUGAGGUGGAGCAAUUGCCUAUUAAAUCUGAUGAUGUGAGUGAUUCUGAAUUAUCUGAAAAUCUGCAAGAUCAAACUGUUGAAACAGAUUUGCCCAACGUGGAUGAUUUGUCUGAUUAUCAACUUGCUAGGGAUAGACCUAGACGUGAGCAUGUUAGGAAACCUAAACACUUUGAUGAUUUUCACCUUGAUUCACAUGUUUUUAAUGUGUUUGAAUCACUAGAUGGAAAUGAGCCUAAGUCGUAUAAAGAUGCUUUAAAAUCUGAUAAAUCUGCCGAAUGGUUAAAUGCUAUGAAUGAUGAAAUGAACUCGUUGCAUGUUAACCAUACUUGGGAACUUGUGCCUAAACCUGCUAAUUGUUCUGUGGUAGAUUGCAAAUGGCUGUUUAAGGUCAAAAAUGAGGUUGAUUCAAUAAGGUAUAAAGCUAGGCUUGUGGCUAAGGGCUUUACUAAAAAAGAGGGUGUUGACUACACCGAAAUUUUUGCCCCUGUUGUUAAAUUCACUACUGUGCGUAUUAUGCUUGCUUUAGUUGCUCAUUUUAAUUGGGAAUUGAAGCAAAUGGAUGUUAAAACUGCGUUUUUGCAUGGUGAAUUAGAUGAAACGAUCUAUAUGAAACAGCUCGAGGGCUUUAUAGAUCCUAAUAAAAGUGAACAUGUGUGUUUGCUUAAAAAGUCUUUGUAUGGCUUGAAACAAUCUCCUAGGCAAUGGAAUAAGAAAUUUGACUCUUGCAUGCUUUCUUUGAAUUUUAAACGAAGCGACUUCGAUCCUUGCCUUUAUUUUAUGGAGAAUGCUCGUAUUCCUAGGUUUCUAUUAAUUUACGUUGAUGAUAUGCUCCUAAUUAGUCCUUGCUUGAAAUCUAUUGAUUAUAUCAAAAAGUGUCUAAGUGAACAAUUUGAUAUGAAGUUCUUAGGAGAUGCCAAGAAGAUUCUUGGAAUUAAUAUUGAUAGGGAUCGUAGAAAUAACACCUUGCUUCUUAAUCAAAUUUCUUAUGUUGAAAAGAUCUUGGAAAAAUUCUCAAUGAAUUCUGCUAAAUCUGCUUCUGUGCCAUUAGCUGCCCAUUUUUUGCUAAGUAAGACUCAGUCUCCUUCUACUGAAUCUGAAAUAAAUGAUAUGAAAUAUGUGCCUUACUCCAAUGCUAUUGGAUCUGUCAUGUAUCUUAUGGUUUGUACUCGGCCUGAUAUUGCGUAUGCAGUUAGUUGUUUAAGUAGAUAUAUGUCUAAUCCCGGUAUGCCGCAUUGGAAAGCGCUUAAAUGGCUUCUUCGUUAUUUGAAAGGUUCGUUGAACUUGGGAUUAAAUUUUUCCAAAUCUAAUAAUGGUGUUGAAUUAAUUGGAUAUGUGGAUUCUAAUUUUGCUAAUGAUAGAGAUAAUAGGAAAUCUACUACUUCUUAUGUUUUUACUUUGUGUGGCUUUUGCAUUAGUUGGAAAUCUCAGUUGCAACGUAUAGUAGCUUUAUCUACUACUGAAGCAGAGUACAUUGCUGCAACCGAGGCUAUAAAAGAAGCCAUUUGGCUUAAAGGUCUUCUUAAGGAAAUUGGUUUCUUAAAUGGUGAAGUAGUUGUCUAUUCAGACAGUCAAUCAGGUAUUCAACUGUGUAAGAACCCGGUUUUCCACGAGAGAACUAAACAUAUACAAAUUAAGUAUCACUUUAUUCGUAACAUAGUGGAUCGUGGCAAAAUUAGACUUGAAAAGAUCCCAUCCGAAUUUAAUCCUGCUGAUAUGGGCACUAAGUGCCUACCCAUCGAAAAAUUUAGAUCUUGUUUGAAGAAUCUAAAUUUCGAGACGAAAGGUUGAUUUACUUUACGUAUUUCAUUUUUUUUAUUGCUUUCGUAGUGUAAUUUUAUUUUAUGCAAAUAAAUUAUGUACUAACUCUAUUCUGUUGAGUGCAGGUACAUAUACCCGGCAAUGAUGACCUCGAUUCCCUACAAAAGUCCCGAUGACUCAUUUGGCCCAGGUGGAGAUUGUUGGAAAUGGGCCCAAUGAGUUUUAUACUCUGGGCCCAAUUCUCAAACCAUCUUGCAGCCCAUCCUCCAUGGAGUAAGCCCAUCACUUAAAAGCCCAGUCAAAUGUGAGCUUCUUUAAUCUAGACCAUUGAUUUGGUAGAUUAAUCUUGACCGUUGAUAGAAGGUAUAAAAAGGGGCUGCAAUUGCUUUCUUUCUCCAGCAGAUUUUUUUCCCCAACCCUAGCCGCUGCUAUUUCUUUCUCUCUCUUCUGUUCCGAUUUCCUCGUCGGAAAUCAAGAUCGAAUCUCCGGUUUUUCCCUCCGGAUUUCUAGUAAGUCGUGGCUUUAUAGUCUGCUUUUUUUUUUUGUGAGAGUGGUACGUGAGAAAUUGAGCUGAUAUCUGUCCAAAUAAUUCGUGUGGUUUUCUCUCAAACCUUCUACCUUGCUUUGUGAUCUGGGUUGUGGGUCUAUCCUGUGUGAACGAGAGGUUUUUGGGUCAGAUCUGUUUUUCCUUCGUGAGUUGGGUGGUUCGAUUGGGUAAAAGGGAAUUCUUGCUGGAGAACGUGGCUAAGUGAAACGAGGGCUUUAUUCCGGUGGAUGUUCGGAGGCAGCCAAGUGGGUCUUGGACGUGGACUAUCGGGAAUUCGAGGACUGAGCCGGAACGAGUCUCCAUCUUCACUGAUUUGUUUAUCAAAUCAGUCCGGUUAGAUUUAUUCUUCGUUAUAAUAUUCUGUAAUUUUUAAAUUCAUUAGAAAAUCUGUAUUCCCUAAACCCCAUUCCCAUAGGUAUUUAUUUGUUAUUGAAUAAUUAUUAUUUGGUCUGUAAUUAUUCUAGAGUUCAACGGGUACCCAACA
rnacentral:lncRNA from 1 species